rnacentral:tRNA from 1 species
GGCUCAGUGGUCUAGUGGUAUGAUUCUUGCUUUGGUGCGAGAGGCCACGGGUUCGAUUCUCGUCUGAGCCC